ensembl:lncRNA
CCUACCUCCUGUCCCAGCCCUUCCUGCACUUGAAGGCCCCACACUGCUCCUCACACUCAGGCUGUGGUCCUUCCAGUUUGCCCGUUCUUUAAUUCCAGGGAAACAGUUAUUCCUUGGAGGAGGCAUGUCCUUCAAUUGUCAUUCCUUCCUGUUGUGGAGGGAGCCUGGCAAUAGUAAAUAUGGUAAAACAUUGAUUCUGCCCAAAGGACACCUCACAUCUGCUGCUUUGCUUACACUCUUCUCCUCAUCUGAGGAUCUUCCAACAAGUUACUAAGGAGGCAAAGUGAAUCCUGUUUCUUCAUAUUAAACCUGCUUCCCAUUAUUUCAAUGCAGCUUCUCUGUUUAGUGCAAACACUUUCAUGACAGAGGUCUCUACCUCUGGGGUUUGGCUGCCCUGUCCCCCUUCCCUCUGUCUCAGUCUUUCUGAUCUGGGGAAGUUCAAGUACCUUCUCAUCCCAAAGGCCUUAUCUAACCAUAGCUAUCUGUGGGUCAAGAAGUCCUUUCACAUGCAUUACUGGUGCUUAUGUGAGCACUGUGGGGAAGCUUUGCUCUAUAGUUGCUUUGUCAUAUUCUUACUGAGGUCUGCGCUAUUGCUAACAGUCAGAAAGAAGACGUAGAGUCGAGUGGGUUUUGCCUGAUCAUCAGACAGCAUUUUCAUUUUGUAUGUCCUAUAGGCCUGUACUUACAAGUGUUAAAUACUUCCAGAAAGUUCCUGGAUGUACUGGGAAAGCAAAAAGAAGAUUCAAAGAUGUCUCCCAGUUAAAAGCUUGAAUGGCAGCGCUAUUGGUUAUGCUGUCAACAGUGACAAAGCAGAAAGGACCAAAGAAGAUUUUGAAAGAAAAUCCUCCCUUUGUUUAGUCAUCUUAAACUAGAAAGUAGUUCAGGAUCAUUCUCUAGCAACAGUUUUCUGCAUUCUGUUAUUGAGAUCAUGUAAUUUUGAGAGAUGCUACUAGUUAAAAAUUUGAGCUAAGAUAGAAAUUAACCUCAGAAAUUACAAGGGGAUUUACAGACUUUGCACCUGCCCCUCCCUUGUUAUGUCUCUCAGACAAAUUCAGACAGAAAUACUAGAAACGUGCUUAUCAAGCAAGCAGGGAUACAGAGAUGAGUAUGUUCUGAGCACAAACAAGCACUUUGUUCACCAUUAACAGGAUGAAACACAGCACUGUUGAGAAGAGCCUUUGUUGCAAGGAUCAGACGUGGCAGAUUCUGCAAGCCUGGCAGCCCUGGCGGCAUAGCUCUGCUGGUUUAAUUACCAGUGCUGCUCACAGGGUGGAGGAAACCUUCAUAGUAGUGGGAGAACCACAGGUCAAUCUCCUGGCUGGUCCCAAACCGGCCCAGCUCAAAUGCUUUGUCAGCUAACGUUGCAGCUUCAUAUAAGAGGGCACAGGAAGGUAUAAUAAGACUCUGUAGAUGCAGGUUGAAACCAGACGAGUUCAGACUACAAAUUAAGUGAAAGCAUUUUUGCCUAUCAAUGAAGGUAAGUAAACAUUAACAAGGGCUGAAGUGGAUUUUCCACGAUUGGAAAGCUUAACAUUAUAAUUGGUUGAUUUUCUAGCACCAAACACUGGUAGCAAAUUUUGCACAGGAAUUAAGAGAGAAGCAUUCUUUGCUCUGUGCCUUGUAUGAGAUCAGGCCAGUCUUUUCUGACCCAGGUUGUUGAUUACCCUACAGCAAACUCUCCUGCCCUCAAUAAGGAGAAAUUAGUGAACUGAAACCUAACUGCAUAUGCCUCAGGUUCCAGCAAAACCCUUUUAUACUAAAAGCUAUUUUCCCGGCUAUACUUUGUAUAUAAUAGCAUGUUAGAUAUGGGACAUCCAUUGGAGCCUUUUACAUUACAUACUCUUUGGUAAUUGAUGCAGUGUCUAAUGGACUCAUCUAGUGUAGGAGUGAAAACAAUACAUUCUGUGAAAAGGUUUAUGCUCAGACCCUAGAACAGGUUAGUACAGCUUCUUUUCCAUCUCUUGAGAUCACACUCCCUGCUGGCUUUUCCUGUGAAAUCUCUCAAGCAGAGCUCCCAUCUGCCUACAACGCUUUGCGGAGGGGCCAGGACCUCCAAUUUCUGGAUUCAAGGAUUGGGGCUCUUGCUGCUCUCGCCUUCUUCCAGAAGAGGAGGUUUGCCAGGCCACCUCUGCCAUGCAGGACUAUCUUGCUGAUCAUGAGCAAGACUGUGUGCUCUCCUAAUCCUUAGGCCAGAUUGGAUUGGGCUCUGGGCAACCUGAUGAAAUGGGUGGCAACCCUGUCCAUGGCAGGGGAGUUGGAACUGGACGGUCUUUAAGGUCCCUUCGAACUCAAACUAUUAUAUGAUUCUAUGAUUACAUGAUUCUAUGAGUCUACGAUUGUCAUCCACCCUGGGGAACCUAAGGGCAGCACAGAAACAAAGCAUUAAAGGACCUGGAGAUGCUUAUUGCUGAAAGUGAGGCAGUUAUUGAAAUGCUUUGCUGAAUCAAAGCCCUUGGACUCUUUCAACAAAUAGUCAGAUAUCGUUGUCUCAUGUGGCACUUGGCUGCAACCUGUACAGCCUGUUUCUCUGAAGAGCUAUAAUGAGAAAGUCGUAGUGUACCAAGUAGGAGAUAAAAGAAUAAAUCUCAAAGUUUACCUUUGCUUUGCUUUAAUUUCUUCUGCUGUCAUCAAAGAGAUGACAAAAGUUGUUCUUAGGGAAUUUAAAUAUUAAUACAGGCUAAAAUGCAGGUGAAACCAACAACAAGGGAAACAUUUUACUAAUCUAUAAACUAGACAGAGUAAUCUACCAACUGGGAAUAAUGCUAAGUAGGCACUUUAAGUUACUGUUCGGAAUGAGUUUGAUCAAUUCACUCCAAGCCACAUUAGUCUCAUAAAAGCUGAGAGUAGCAUUUUCUCCCAAGGGUUUCCUUUGAGGGAUAUUCCUCUCAGAGUGCAGUAUCACAGGGGCAAUUAAGGAUGAUAAUGUUUUUUGCAUAUACUAAGCAAUUGACUAGUCAACAUUGAUCAAGAUAGGCUUUCGUCAUUUUUUAAAAUGCUCUUCCAAGUUCACAGUACAGUUGCUGUCUGAGAUAACAGACGCAGUAGUGAGUAGUUAGUAUUAUUAUACCAUGACUCUGUGAAGUAUUUUAGACAAGCAAAUAGCUUCCAGGAAGCUAGUAGGAAAAAAUAGUGUUCUCAUUAAUAGUGUGUGUGUGCGCUCUUGGCCAGGUGGAAAAGAAAAUGCUUGGAAAUAUUAUGGAUUUUUCUGGCAUCAGUGGCAUAUUCUCACUCUUCCCUCCCAGAUAAAUUGGCAUUAAUGCUCCCAGUCUCAAUGAUGACUACAAGCUCAUUACAGAUGCUGCUUUGCUUGUACAUCAUUACUGUCCCACAAGAAUGCAAUGUAUUGCCUAGAAAGGAUUUCUGGAUGUUUUCCCUGAUAUAAAAUCACAGAGGCUUAUAUUUAGUCCUUUCCCUGAUGACAAUCCUACCUGCAUAUAUUCUCUCUCUUUCUUUCUCACAGACGUACACACGCUUGACUUUGAACUCUGACAUUUAUCUCAUGACAUAAAUUCUUUCAAUUAACCAACACAAUGCAUUAGUGUAAUCAUUAGUCCUAGCCUGCAUUCUCCUUUGGAAUAGCUAAGCAGAGUUGUAGUAAUGUUGUCACGAUGCAUAUUGUAUACAAAAUUUGAAACUAGGAUGGAAAGUGUUAUUGGUGAAGGUCUUGUUAUGGUAAUGUCCUUGCUCCAAGGUUAUUUACAUAAAAAGCUGUCUUGUCUUUGUAAGAAUCGUGCUUGCCUCUGUGCUUCCAGCAUAACAACACUAUGCAUUACCUUUCUCUCUGAAGGAUCAUGGUGCCUUCUGUUUAUAAACUUUCUGCCCAUUAGGACAAUUUAAGCCUUAAAACAAGUGAAACGGUACAUUCAGGGUGACCUUGAGAGUGCAGGGCCACAAAAUGGAAACAGAAAAUCCAGCAUGAUUAGAAGCAGCUCAGUUCUGGGCUCAUUUGCAUAUUUUAGACUUUUUCAUUCUCUAGACACCAAACUACUGUGUGAUACAAUGUUAACUAAGGCUUGACAAAUCCCUGGUAGCACCCAGACAUAUGCAGUCCAGAAGAGUAAUAACUCCCAUCAUGUUCCUAACAACGAAGUUCAACUUAGCCAAGGUAAUUUUUUUCCUCAUGAAAUAUGAGGGGACCCAGAAGGAUCUGGCAAUGUGACCAAGCACCGUGGAAUCACAAGGCAGGACUUCCACCAACAUUCCUCAUUGGUCAGUUCUAAAUGGUCUGUGCUAAGUACUACGCUAACUCCCAGCACCUGAGUGCCCAAACAGCUCCUGGGUUGUGGCAGGAGCAGACCAUACACCGGCCUUAUUGCUUUGGUGACAGGGAGACAAGACAUCAUUCUUCACAGUUACCGGAGCAAGGAUUCUUAGAGCAGCAGCGUUCGUAUCUCCUGUCCUGACUCUUUGCAAGGGCAGCCUGAGUCCUCAUUAGGACCAUGACUCUUCAGAGCAAAGAUCUCUGCUGCUGAAGAGGGAGACACCAUUAAUUAAAUGAGCACUCACUGAUGGAUGGUACUGAAUUAUGGUAGUUUUAUCACUGAAACCAUAGAAUCAUUGAAUGGCUUGAGUUAGAAGGGACCUUAAAGAUCACCUAGUUCCAAUCCACUAAUGAUAUUUUAUAAGAAGUUCUCGACAGUCUUUUCUAGACAAUCCAGCAUUGUUUCUAGCAUGGAGAGAGCAAUGGAGCUGCUUAGUAAGAGUUGCUUAUUCCAGACAUGAGGUAUUCACGCCCCUAGCAAUAAUUAACAUACCCUCAAGAAAGUGCUGGGGGCUGGGAGCCUUCCCACUGCUCUGUGAUAAUAGCCUUAGUCACACUUUACAGUACUGUGCUACUUCCACACAUUUACCCAUAGCGAAUCACUUGUUUCUAGGGUGAUUCACAGCCACGGCUGCUUCCCGUCCUCCUGGGGCUUUUCUACAGUGUGAGGCUUCCCACAGGCUCAGUGACACUCCUGCCACGGGUCUGUCCUUGGCUUCCAGCCUGAGCUUCUCUGCUGGCCAGAGUGGUGCGAGGGUGGCAAAGAGAGCAGAUUGGCCUGGCCCCGCGGAAUGUCAUGUUUCACCAAUGGGAUGCUGUCAGGGAGAAAACAGCAGGUCAGUGCCUUGGCAAGAGCUAAUUAGCACAGCCACGUCAGCUGCACUGCGGUGGGUGGCACAUUGCCAGCUGAUGCCAGCCCAGGAUCCCACUUUCUCUAUCUAGGAAAAUCAGAGUGCAUCUGGGCUGGAACAAUGCUUGGGAGGGGAUUACCAAAAGUGAAAGGACUGUGGGGUUUUUGCUCACUUUUCUUCAUGAGGGCUGUUUCCCAUACACUGCGGCUGGGCAAGCUGGGCUUUGUGGAUGCUUUUUUUGGCUCUCACAGGAUUAUAAAAUGUUGUAGCGUGGCCCUCUUAUUAAGACCAGAAGAAGCCAUGAAGAGCUUCCCAAACACCCUGAAUUUCUAUUACAUGGGGGGCUCUAUCCCAUCCCUUUCAUUUUCAGGUGAUGGGAGCAGUAAGAGCAGAAUUUGCCACCCUGCAUCACCUCAGUCCCCUGUCACCUGGGGUCCUCAGGGGGGAAGUGAUGCUGCAGGAGCUGUUCUGCACCAGGGGAGCACAGGGAGGGUUUGCUGGGGGGGUCUCCUGCUACACUAUGAUCCACGACUGCAAAUUGCUGAAUCUUGGUAUUCAUGCAUGUCGAGUACUGACAGAAGCAUCAUAACACUUUGCAAGUGUUUCCAUCCUCUCAGCAAAAACAAAACAUCAGGUGGCAGGAGGCUGCUCUCUGACCCACUUUGCCACAGGCCAGGCCGUGCAGGACCUCCCAGACACUCCAAAGGCAUUCAGGAUACAAAGGAAACAGCAUUUCAUGAAACCUUCCUGUGUGUUUCCCUCUCAGAGUGUUUUUUGUUUGUUUGUUUGUUUGUUUUUUGCUGCUUAAGCCUUAAAUAAAAUGCCCAGCUAGUUGCAGAGUGUUGCUUCAGGCACAGCUUCAUUUUCUGGGGUUUUGACAGAGCUGAGGCAGAAUUUUUCUAGCUUUCA